UACAGAGGUCCCAAGCGUUGUUCGGAUUCACUGGGCGUAAAGGGUGCGUAGGCGGUCGGGUAAGUCUGAUGUGAAAUCUCACAGCUUAACUGUGAAACUGCAUUGGAUACUAUUCGGCUUGAGAGUUGGAGGGGGACUGGGAAUUCUUGGUGUAGCAGUGAAAUGCGUAGAUAUCAAGAGGAACACCAGUGGCGAAGGCGAGUCCCUGGACAACUUCUGACGCUGAGGCACGAAAGCUAGGGGAGCAAACAGG
rnacentral:rRNA from 1 species